GACAGAGGGUGCAAACGUUGUUCGGAAUUACUGGGCGUAAAGCGCGUGUAGGCGGCCCUGCAAGUCGGAUGUGAAAUCCCACGGCUCAACCGUGGAAGUGCAUUCGAAACUGCAGGGCUAGAGUCCUGGAGAGGAAGGUGGAAUGCUUGGUGUAGUGGUGAAAUGCGUAGAGAUCGGCAGGAACACCCAGGGGGAAACCAGUCGACUGGGCAUCAGCUGACGCUGAGGUGCGAGAGCGUGGGGAGCGAACCGG
rnacentral:rRNA from 1 species